rnacentral:ncRNA from 1 species
GGACCAUGUACAAGUCUCUUGGAACAGAGCGUCAUAGAGGGUGAGAAUCCCGUCCUUGACAUGGACUCCCGGUGCUUUGUGUUGUGCUCUCAACGAGUCGAGUUGUUUGGGAAUGCAGCUCAAAAUGGGUGGUAAAUUCCAUCUAAAGCUAAAUAUUGGCGAGAGACCGAUAGCGAACAAGUACCGUGAGGGAAAGAUGAAAAGCACUUUGGAGAGAGAGUUAAACAGUACGUGAAAUUGUUGAAAUGGAAACGCUUGAAGUCAGUCGCGUUCUCUGGGAUUCAGCCUUGCUUCUGCUUGGUGCACUUCCUAGUCUACGGGCCAGCAUGAAUUUUGACCGGUGCAAAAGGAUUUG